GAAGGAUGGGCCCUAGCUCAGCAGUAGAGCAUCUCCUUUGCAUGCAGACGGUGCUGGGUUCAAUCCCCAAUGACAUCUUCA